UUUAGAAAUUUAAUUUUUUAGUUAAAAAGCUGGAAUUUUUUUAUGGGACGAGAAGACCCUAUAGAUCUUUAUUUAUAAGUUAAUUUUAUAGGUUAGGUUUAUAUUUAUAUAAAUUGAUUUGUGAAUUUAAUUGGGGAGAUUGUAGAAUUUUUUUAACUUCUAUUAUUUUAAUUCAUUUAUUUAUGUUUAAAUUGAUCCUUUUUUAGGGAUUAUAAGAUUAAGUUU
rnacentral:rRNA from 1 species